GCCUUCGUGGUGUAGUGGUCAGUACGCUCGACGCGUAACCGAGAGGUGCAUGGUUCGAUUCCAGGCGAAGGCG
rfam:Stegodyphus mimosarum contig102472, whole genome shotgun sequence.